CGUGAGAGGCAAGGGGAUUACUCACGUUAAACCAACACCCCAAAGGGAACAGAAUUCUACUACGUCCACGUCGUUGUUCCUGGAUAGCGCUAAAAGUAGGAUGAUCCGAAUGUUUUUAAACAUGCAUAACUACAGAGAUUUGAGUGAAAAGUGUUUUGGAAAGCUCUCGAGAUAAGCUACAAGAAUAUGUAAUGAGAAAUAGUAGGUUCUAUUUAAGAAAUUGAAUAUGACCUUCAUGUGACCAUCAAGUAACUCUUCAAGGUCAAACCAAUGAUACCAUCUUAUGUCCCCCUCGAAGCCAUACAACUUUUGUCUGAAACAUUUUUCUCUAAAAUGUUCUAUUUCCGAAAUAAAAGGGCUGUACGGGUGAUUUGAAUCACACUGUAUACUAAGUUGCAUUUCCAUAAAAAGCGGGAUGCCACGAACAGCUCGCGAUGUUGCGCGAAUAAUAUCAAAAAGAUGCGAAAUUGUUUCUCAAUCAGAUCUCGCUCGCAGACUCGACGGAAACUCGAUUACGAAUUAAUGUCAAUCUUAAUCUCCGUCUUCAUUAUCGUUUGAGCGAAACCUCAAUCUACCUUAGAUAUAAUCUGACGUUUGAAUAUAGUUAUUUCAGAUUAAUUUGCGUCUAUCUCAAUCUAUAUUGACACUAAAAAAGCUAAUCAAAAAGCUGUCAUGCGAUGACGAAGCAUUUAUGCGUUGCGAAUAAAUACGCGACUGCAUUAAUGCGUUCGUCAGUAAUGGAGAACAAGCUAAUAAAGUGGUUGUUCUCUUCAAAUUCCUCACCGUGGUUCUUGAGGAAAUUCUCCUUGAGGAAUAGCCCCUCGUGAUCCUCGUACAUACGAGCGCGUUGCAAAUGCAAAGCCGCCGGUAGCACGAGUCUAGGGAUCCAGACUAGCUUGUCUACCUAGUGUCACGAUAAAGCUUCCUACAUCGGUCCUUCACUUCCGACUGAGAAACUAUCGCGCAGGCGACUAUCAAGACGAUUGCUGGCUUGUCUUACACGUAACCCACGCCGACCCACGCGCGCGUUUCGCUCCUACGGAAACGAAAUUGCUCGGCUCUGCUGUUAAACGCGCGAAAGAAAUAGAGGGAUCGCUUCGUCCCGCGCUCCGUCUCUAGGUUAAAUUGUUUUUAUUAGCUGGUCCCUUCUUAGGCGGGAUAUCAACGGCAGUAAAGAACUCGGCGAUAGAAACGCGCGUAAGAGGCUUUUUGCCAAGAAUCUCUCGGGGAGGAAAGAUAGGCUCGUUUCUUCUUGUCGCUUUCAUCGCGCGGAUUCGAAUUCGCCAUGAAGGGAAAGUCUACUCGACGAAUCAGUCGUUUAUCCGCGUUUAUAUCGAGCCGAAGUUUCGUCGUGUCUGAUCGAGAUACAUGCCGGCACGUGUAUGUAUGUGUGUAUGUAUGUACUCGGAUGGGUUUUGAAGUCGGUCAUUCUCAAGCGCUCCACGAAGCACAGGAUUUCGAAGAAUCUAUAUUA